UACGACUACCAAUGAAGUUCAUUUGAUAAUUCAAAAAGACGAGGGACGCCAAAGCGAUGCAGUAAAAACUAACAGAUCAUCAGUUAUAGCCCUAUUGCGCCAACCAUUUUCAAAACUCAUUAAACUCUUGGAUAUCGAGAAUUUAUAUGAAAUGAAGCUGGUCCAUGAGCAAUCCCGUCAACUUCUACAUCAUAUGUGCAAAGAAAUUUUAAUUUCAGAUGUGGAAGGAAGGCUUAAAGGUUGU